GACAUUUUAGAAAGAAAAUAAAUCAUACAUUGUGGCUAGUGCAAAAACUAGGGUACAUUUUAUGUUUUCCCCCCAAUGUGUCAAAUAAUAUGUUAACUUCUUUUCACUCG